rnacentral:rRNA from 1 species
UUUAAUGGAGAGUUUGAUCCUGGCUCAGGACGAACGCUGGCGGCGUGCCUAAUACAUGCAAGUCGAGCGGGGUUGUUGUAGAAGCUUGCUUCUAGAACAACCUAGCGGCGGACGGGUGAGUAACACGUAGGCAACCUACCCAUGAGACUGGGAUAACUACCGGAAACGGUAGCUAAUACCGGAUACAUCCUUUCCCUGCAUAGGG